rnacentral:rRNA from 1 species
AGAGUUUGAUCCUGGCUCAGAACGAACGCUGGCGGCAGGCUUAACACAUGCAAGUCGAACGUGAAGCAGGAGCUUGCUCCUGUGGAAAGUGGCAGACGGGUGAGUAACGCGUGGGAAUUUACCCAGUGGUUCGGAAUAACGCAUGGAAACGUGUGCUAAUACCGGAUACGCCCUCCGGGGGAAAGAUUUAUCGCCAUUGGAUGAGCCCGCGUCGGAUUAGCUAGUUGGUGAGGUAAUGGCUCACCAAGGCGACGAUCCGUAGCUGGUCUGAGAGGAUGAUCAGCCACACUGGGACUGAGACACGGCCCAGACUCCUACGGGAGGCAGCAGUGGGGAAUAUUGCGCAAUGGGGGAAACCCUGACGCAGCCAUGCCGCGUGAGUGAAGAAGGCCUUAGGGUUGUAAAACCCUUUCAGUGGUGAAGAUAAUGACGGUAGCCACAGAAGAAGCCCCGGCCAACUCCGUGCCAGCAGCCGCGGUAAUACGGAGGGGGCUAGCGUUGUUCGGAAUUACUGGGCGUAAAGCGCGCGUAGGCGGGCUGGUUAGUUGGGGGUGAAAUCCCAGGGCUCAACCCUGGAACUGCCCUCAAUACUGCCAGUCUUGAGUUCGAGAGAGGUAAGCGGAAUUCCUAGUGUAGAGGUGAAAUUCGUAGAUAUUAGGAAGAACACCAGUGGCGAAGGCGGCUUACUGGCUCGAUACU